rnacentral:rRNA from 1 species
UUAAGUUAUUAAGGGCGCACGGUGGAUGCCUUGGCACUAGAAGCCGAUGAAGGACGUUACUAACGACGAUAUGCUUUGGGGAGCUGUAAGUAAGCUUUGAUCCAGAGAUUUCCGAAUGGGGAAACCCAGCAUGAGUUAUGUCAUGUUAUCGAUAUAUGAAUACAUAGCAUAUCAGAAGGCACACCCGGAGAACUGAAACAUCUUAGUACCCGGAGGAAGAGAAAGAAAAUUCGAUUCCCUUAGUAGCGGCGAGCGAAACGGGAAGAGCCCAAACCAACAAGCUUGCUUGUUGGGGUUGUAGGACACUCUAUACGGAGUUACAAAGGACGACAUUAGACGAAUCAUCUGGAAAGAUGAAUCAAAGAAGGUAAUAAUCCUGUAGUCGAAAAUGUUGUCUCUCUUGAGUGGAUCCUGAGUACGACGGAGCACGUGAAAUUCCGUCGGAAUCUGGGAGGACCAUCUCCUAAGGCUAAAUACUCUCUAGUGACCGAUAGUGAACCAGUACCGUGAGGGAAAGGUGAAAAGCACCCCGGAAGGGGAGUGAAAUAGAACCUGAAACCGUGUGCUUACAAGUAGUCAGAGCCCGUUAAUGGGUGAUGGCGUGCCUUUUGUAGAAUGAACCGGCGAGUUACGAUUUGAUGCAAGGUUAAGCAGUAAAUGUGGAGCCGUAGCGAAAGCGAGUCUGAAUAGGGCGUUUAGUAUUUGGUCGUAGACCCGAAACCAGGUGAUCUACCCUUGGUCAGGUUGAAGUUCAGGUAACACUGAAUGGAGGACCGAACCGACUUACGUUGAAAAGUGAGCGGAUGAACUGAGGGUAGCGGAGAAAUUCCAAUCGAACCUGGAGAUAGCUGGUUCUCUCCGAAAUAGCUUUAGGGCUAGCCUCAAGUGAUGAUUAUUGGAGGUAGAGCACUGUUUGGACGAGGGGCCCCUCUCGGGUUACCGAAUUCAGACAAACUCCGAAUGCCAAUUAAUUUAACUUGGGAGUCAGAACAUGGGUGAUAAGGUCCGUGUUCGAAAGGGAAACAGCCCAGACCACCAGCUAAGGUCCCAAAAUAUAUGUUAAGUGGAAAAGGAUGUGGCGUUGCCCAGACAACUAGGAUGUUGGCUUAGAAGCAGCCAUCAUUUAAAGAGUGCGUAAUAGCUCACUAGUCGAGUGACACUGCGCCGAAAAUGUACCGGGGCUAAACAUAUUACCGAAGCUGUGGAUUGUCCUUUGGACAAUGGUAGGAGAGCGUUCUAAGGGCGUUGAAGCAUGAUCGUAAGGACAUGUGGAGCGCUUAGAAGUGAGAAUGCCGGUGUGAGUAGCGAAAGACGGGUGAGAAUCCCGUCCACCGAUUGACUAAGGUUUCCAGAGGAAGGCUCGUCCGCUCUGGGUUAGUCGGGUCCUAAGCUGAGGCCGACAGGCGUAGGCGAUGGAUAACAGGUUGAUAUUCCUGUACCACCUAUAAUCGUUUUAAUCGAUGGGGGGACGCAGUAGGAUAGGCGAAGCGUGCGAUUGGAUUGCACGUCUAAGCAGUAAGGCUGAGUAUUAGGCAAAUCCGGUACUCAUUAAGGCUGAGCUGUGAUGGGGAGAAGACAUUGUGUCUUCGAGUCGUUGAUUUCACACUGCCGAGAAAAGCCUCUAGAUAGAAAAUAGGUGCCCGUACCGCAAACCGACACAGGUAGUCAAGAUGAGAAUUCUAAGGUGAGCGAGCGAACUCUCGUUAAGGAACUCGGCAAAAUGACCCCGUAACUUCGGGAGAAGGGGUGCUCUUUAGGGUUAACGCCCAGAAGAGCCGCAGUGAAUAGGCCCAAGCGACUGUUUAUCAAAAACACAGGUCUCUGCUAAACCGUAAGGUGAUGUAUAGGGGCUGACGCCUGCCCGGUGCUGGAAGGUUAAGAGGAGUGGUUAGCUUCUGCGAAGCUACGAAUCGAAGCCCCAGUAAACGGCGGCCGUAACUAUAACGGUCCUAAGGUAGCGAAAUUCCUUGUCGGGUAAGUUCCGACCCGCACGAAAGGCGUAACGAUUUGGGCACUGUCUCAACGAGAGACUCGGUGAAAUCAUAGUACCUGUGAAGAUGCAGGUUACCCGCGACAGGACGGAAAGACCCCGUGGAGCUUUACUGUAGCCUGAUAUUGAAAUUCGGCACAGCUUGUACAGGAUAGGUAGGAGCCUUUGAAACGUGAGCGCUAGCUUACGUGGAGGCGCUGGUGGGAUACUACCCUAGCUGUGUUGGCUUUCUAACCCGCACCACUUAUCGUGGUGGGAGACAGUGUCAGGCGGGCAGUUUGACUGGGGCGGUCGCCUCCUAAAAGGUAACGGAGGCGCUCAAAGGUUCCCUCAGAAUGGUUGGAAAUCAUUCAUAGAGUGUAAAGGCAUAAGGGAGCUUGACUGCGAGACCUACAAGUCGAGCAGGGUCGAAAGACGGACUUAGUGAUCCGGUGGUUCCGCAUGGAAGGGCCAUCGCUCAACGGAUAAAAGCUACCCCGGGGAUAACAGGCUUAUCUCCCCCAAGAGUUCACAUCGACGGGGAGGUUUGGCACCUCGAUGUCGGCUCAUCGCAUCCUGGGGCUGUAGUCGGUCCCAAGGGUUGGGCUGUUCGCCCAUUAAAGCGGUACGCGAGCUGGGUUCAGAACGUCGUGAGACAGUUCGGUCCCUAUCCGUCGUGGGCGUAGGAAAUUUGAGAGGAGCUGUCCUUAGUACGAGAGGACCGGGAUGGACAUACCUCUGGUGUACCAGUUGUCGUGCCAACGGCAUAGCUGGGUAGCUAUGUGUGGACGGGAUAAGUGCUGAAAGCAUCUAAGCAUGAAGCCCCCCUCAAGAUGAGAUUUCCCAACUUCGGUUAUAAGAUCCCUCAAAGAUGAUGAGGUUAAUAGGUUCGAGGUGGAAGCAUGGUGACAUGUGGAGCUGACGAAUACUAAUCGAUCGAAGACUUAAUC